AGGGGGUUCAAAAUGAGGAGGGGAAAGUACAGAUGAGAUGACUGGGGAUCAAUUUUGAACGAUCUACCAAACAUAAGGGAACAACAUGCAAGGGGUUACGGCUUUGGUUGCAAAAGGUGAAGUACAGCCAUGGUUGAGAUCAACAAGUUUCAGGAAGGUGAACAGAUUGACAAGCCUUUCAUACGAAAACAAAUGAAAAUCAGAUUCCUUGAACAUUGAAGAAGUAGGAGAUCUUUUGUAACCUGAAGAAUCCGGAAUUUGGAUUUGUAGAUGAGGUUUUGUUUGAGAAGGCUAAUGUCGCGAUUGACAAGGGUGAGAAAAUGGCCGAAAUGGGUGUGGAAAGAGUACUUUCCUUAAACUUAUUAUGGGUUUAGAGAAGCCUAGAGGAGGUGAUGCUUGGGGAACACAAUGUUCUUCAACAUUAUUUUUAGCAGGUAGACCUGUGAUCAACUGGGUUCUUAAAGUUUUGCUUGGUCUAUUAUUUCUCUAUACGAGUAAUUAUUUAAUUCAGGCUGAUGCAGGUGAUUCGGAUAAAACAGUGUUUGAGACUAUGGCGGAAGUUGCGGAUAACUGGCAAAUUGAGGAUGUAAAAGGGCUCCUUGGGCGUUGCAAUUUCAAAGCUGAUAUGCUUGAUAGGAAGGUAUCCAUCUUGAGUGGUGGCA